rfam:Ovis aries breed Texel chromosome 17, whole genome shotgun sequence.
UCCCUGGUGGUCCAGUGGCUAGGACUCCAUGCUCCCAAAGCAAGGAGCCUGGGUUCAAACCCUGGUCGGGGAA